rnacentral:snRNA from 1 species
GGGUGUGAGGGCGAGCUGGCUGCGACACCUGUCACCCCAGUGAUGCCAGGGUUGAUUCGGCUGAUCUGGCUGGCUAGGCGGGUGUCCCCUUCCUCCCUCACUGCUCCGUGUGCGUCCCUCCCGAAGCUGCGCACUGGGUCGAAGAGGACGGCCUUCCCCGAAUAGAGACUAGAGACGGACCGGUCUCGGUCGAGGGUGUAUGAGUAGCUGCGCUCCCCUGCUAGGACCUCCAAACAAGCUCUCAAGAACUAGUGGGUACCUCAAACCCUGGUGUAGGUGGCGUUGGCUCGACAUCACGACUUG